GACGAACGCUGGCGGCGUGCUUAACACAUGCAAGUCGAACGGAAAGGCCCGGCUUUUGUGGGGUGCUCGUGUGGGGCACGGGUGAGUAACACGUGAGUAACUUGCACUUGUCUUUGGGAUAACUUCAGGAAACUGGGGCUAAUAUCGGGGAUGAGCUCCUGCUGCGUGGUGGGGGUUGGAAAGAUUCGGCGGUUGUGGAUGGACUCGCGGCAUAUCAGCUUGUUGGUGUGGUAGUGGCUGUCCAAGGCUUUGACGGGUAGCCGGCCUGGGAGGGUGACCGGCGACAUUGGGACUGAGAGACGGACCAGACUCCUACGGGAGGCAGCAGUGGGGAAUAUUACAGAAUGGCCGGAAGCCUGAUGCAGCGACGCCGCGUGCGGGAAGACGGCCUUCGGGUUGUAAACCGCUUUGGCCUGUGACGAAGCGUGAGUGACGGUACUGGGUAAAAAAGCACCGGCUAACUACGUG
rnacentral:rRNA from 1 species